GUGGCCUAGUGGAUAGAGCGUCCGCCUCAGAUAAGGAAGGUCGCGGGUUCGUAACCCCGGUCAAGUCA